GCUAUCACUCUUUUUUUUAUUUAAUUGAUUUUAUUUUUUUAAAUACACAACAGUGGGAAGCAUUACAAUUCUUAUUACACAUAUAGAGCACAAUUUUUCAUAUUUUUGUGUAUAAAGUGUGUUCAGGCCAAUUCAUGUCUUUAUACAUGUACUUAUUUUUGCAUUACAAUUCUCAUUACACAUAUAUACCACAAUUUUUCAUAUCUAUGUAUAUAAAGUAUGUUGACACCCAAUUCGUGUCUUCAUACAUGUACUUAGGAUAAUGAUGUCCAUCACAUUCCACCAUCAUUAGUAACCCCCUGCCCCCUUCCUUACCAUCCCAUCCCUCUUUGCUAUCUAGAAUUCAUCUAUUCCUCCCAUUCUCCCCCUCCCUAACUGUCACUAUGAGUCAGCCUCCUUAUAUCAGAGAAAACAUUCAACGUUCGUUUUUGGGGGGAUUGGCUAACUUCACUUAGCAUUAUCUUCGCCAACACCAUCUAUUUACCUGCAAAUGCCAUGAUUUUCCAGCUAUCACACUUGCCCUGCAGACUGUUUAUGAAUGCCCUGUGAGCUGACUGACUUUUACAUUCCUAAAGAGUUUUUAAAACUAUAACCUCAAUGAUUGUUAAGCAACUUGAAAAUUUCGAAAUAUCUGUUCUCUCAUUCUUUUCGUAAAACUUUCCUGAUUGCUGAUGUAAAUAAAUUAUGGAUUAUGCAUGCAUUUCCUUAAUUAGAAAUGAACAAGGGUUCUGAAUUUGACCUCUCUGAAUUCAAACUCUGGUCAGUUACUAAAUUUCUUUCUUUUUAAAAAUAUCUUUAUUUAUUUUUUUGUGGUGCUGAGGAUCGAACCCAGUGCCUCACCAGUGCAAGGCAAACGCUCUACCACUGAGCCACAGCCACAGCCCCCUAAAUUUCUUUCUUAUCUGAGCAAGUUUCCCUCUUGAUGCUUUGAUUUCCUAAAAUGAAAAUGAGAUGAAUGCUUGUAGCUAUCUCUUACAUAUCUAAGGAUUUAAAGGGAUAAUGUUUAUAGAGCAUAUCAUAUAGAGCCUAGAAUUUCAUAACUGUUGAAGAAAUCUUAGCUAUUUAUACUAUUUAUUAUUAUUUU
rnacentral:lncRNA from 1 species